AACGCAUAUUGCGCUCUUUGGUAUUCCGAAGAGCAUGCUUGUUUGAGUAUCAGUAAACACCUCAACCUCUCUUUUUUGAUAAAAAAAAGGGAGGGUGGACUUGAGCUAUCCCAACGACCUUCACCGGUAGGCGGGCGGCUUGAAAUGCAGGUGCAGCUGGACUUUCUCCUGAGCUAAAAGCAUAUUCAUUUAGUCCCGUCAAACGGAUUAUUACUUUUGCUGCAGCUAACAUAAAGGGAGAUUGACCAUUUUGGCUGACUGAUGCAGGAUUUUCACAAGAGUCUUCAAACCACUCUUGUUAAACUCGAUCUCAAAUCAAGUAAGACUACCCGCUGAACUUAA
rnacentral:misc_RNA from 1 species